AUACGUAGGGGGCGAGCGUUAUCCGGAUUUAUUGGGCGUAAAGCGUGUGUAGGCGGUUUGUUAAGUUUAAGAUUAAAGCCCGAGGCUUAACCUCGGUUCGUCUUAAAAACUGGCAGACUUGAGUGCAGUAGAGGCAAGUGGAAUUUCUAGUGUAGCGGUUAAAUGCGUAGAUAUUAGAAGGAACACCAGUGGCGAAGGCGGCUUGCUGGGCUGUUACUGACGCUGAGACACGAAAGCGUGGGGAGCAAAUAGGAUUAGAUACCCUAGUAGUCCACGCCGUAAACGAUGAGUACUAAGUGUCGGGUAACCGGUGCUGAAGUUAACACAUUAAGUACUCCGCCUGAGUAGUACGGUCGCAAGGCUGAAACUCAAAUGAAUUGACGGGG
rnacentral:rRNA from 1 species